GCGCCGGUGGUGUAAGGCGAACAUCGCUGCCCGGAAAGCAGAAAAUGCGGGCUCGAGUCCCGCCUGGCGCA
rnacentral:tRNA from 1 species